AGCUGGUGCCCAGGUGCUGGCAGCGGGGGCUGCAGGGUUGCUGUGUUAGGCGUGGCCGAGGCCCUGCAGCCAAAAUGGCGGCGCCUCAGGGAAGGGCUUUAAGGAGAGCAAAAUGCUGCACAGACAGACAGGUGGCAGCAAGGAGGGGAAUAACAAAGUCAGAAACGGCUGAGGGAACACCAUGAUUGGGGAAGAGGAGAGGAGGAGGUGCUGGGGCAGAUCUCCCCUGCAGCCCAUGGUGGAGCAAGUGUCUAUUACCUGAAGGGCUGCCGCCUGUGGGAGAGAGCCCACACUGAAGCAGGGCAGAAGUGUUAGAGGGAAGAAGCUGCAGAGAGAAGCCACUUUGUACUGACUAACAGUGCUUUGUGCUGCCCAAAACCACACUGCUGGGAUGGGAAGAGAGGUAUUGGGAGUGAGGGAGUGCAGAUAAGUCUGGGUAACAGAGGAGGAAAGGUCUCAUUUUAGUCUUUGUCUUGUCUUUCACUGUCUGAAUUUAUGAUAAUUGGUGAUGAAAACAAUGUUCGAAAUAGACACAGGAGAAUAAGCAAUGACUGAAUAACAAACAGUGACUAGCUGCUGCCUUUGUUUGCACGUGGAUAUUGUUUGCAUGAGUACAAAGUAUUGAACAAACCAAAGCACUUCCUCAUACUUCAUAGGCCAUGGUUUUUGCUGGACCAAAGAAAAACAAAUCCAAGAUUCUCCACUGAAGCCUGUAAUUACGUGGUGCCAUUCCAGUCUAGCUGAGUGCAGAAUCAAGACCUGCGUGUUUUGACCACCUGAGCCAUGGUCCUCCACUUGCCCACACAGCUCCUAGCCACUAACUGACAUUUCCAGAGAUUUCAGCUGACAACCAGAUCUGGCUGACAGAAGUCAAGAUACAGAGGUUCUUUUCUAUGUACUUGUAGUUCAUCUACAGCACAAAUGAAACAAGUGUGUCCCUUACCAUUGAUCUUUUUCUAUCGUUUGAGCAAUGAAUAUGUUGAAGUGUUGCUGUAAACAGGGUGGGAAUACUACUGCUGUGCAUCAGGAGUAAAACAAAUAAGACAAGACAGUAAAAAAAAGAUGCUUUCUUGCUGAAACAGACCAAAUCACAGCAUGGAACAUUAUUACAGAAUCUGACAGCAGAGCACUAAUUUGCUUCUUUGAAUGAUGCAGAUUCAAUCAAUAAAUCUCCAGCUAUCAGAGUAAAUCCUUCAGGAAGAUAAACCAAAACCAGAAAAUCAGAAUUUGCUCUUCUUUCCACAAAACAUUUAAAACAUUUAACUAUUUUUUUUCCUGCUGUGCCUUCUUAGUAAAGUAUUGAGUCUAUUCUAAAGCUAUGCUUUAUUUUCAUCACACAAGCAUAUCAACCUGCCUGUACUCCCAUUACUUAAAAAAAUACUUUAGUGAAUUAAAAGGAUUAUGAAGACUUCUCAGGGUGCAGAUAUAUAAACACUUGCCAGGUGAUAAUCCAACUUGAGAGGAAAGCCCAGCAACUAUAUAAGAAUGCAGAUUAUACAUUAAAAUAUAGCCUGGGAGGGCAUGUCAGAUUCAGCUCUGAUUUAUGUAUCUUCAAUGGCUGGGGUCAGCCUUAGUUAAAAGGAGCUAUUGCAUGAGUUCAGACAGUUUUAAAACUGGAACUGUUUGACUUGCUGCAGUCUAUUUCAUUCAUAAAUUCUUUACUAUAAUAUUUGCUUAAAAAUCAUGUCUGAUACUGGCCAUCAGGUCCAGCUUCAGUGAGCCAGUGAACUAUUUCUACACAGCUUCAGUUCUACAAGUUACUUCAAGUCUGUGCCUUACUCCCUAAGGUCAAGUCAAAGCUGUAUGUUAAAAUCUAUGCCAAAUCAGGGAUUAAAUCCUACAUUCUGUAUCCCCAGCCCCACAUACUCUGUGUAUGCAUGGCCAAACCAAACAAAGAAAAGAAAGAGGUGGUUAGUAUUAGCAAUACUUGGCAUGUGAGGGGAGUAGAAAGAUCUACAGAGUUUCCUGAAGGGCUUCUUUUAGCCCUGUUUUCUAUGAUUCUCUUUCUUGACGGCAAGACAGAAGUUGACUAAAAUUCUGGACAGAGUGGAAAAUUCAGUCUCUUGUAAGUCCUUUUAUGGAUGAUAACAAAAGGAGGAGAUGCACCAUCCUAUGCCUUCCCUGCUGCCUGGUAAGGGGUUGGGUGGCAGAGUAGGGGAGGGAAUGAUGGCUUCUGCAGAAGAGAACUCUGAAGCUCUAUGGAGGGAAAAACUGACAUGUCCUGAUAGGACAGAGUGACCUUGGCAGACCAUACACAUAAAGUUAAGGGGAUGGAUACCACUAAGAAAAUGAACAGAAUAGUAAGUGCAAAACUGAACUUCAAAAAGCAGCGUUCUACCAUGCCAGUGAGUUCCCCAUCACUGCUAUCACUGCAAGAGACUCAGUUAGCUGAAUUUUCUGAAACUCUUACACAAUGCUUUUUGAAUCACUAAUUGUGGUUGUUAAGCUGUAAAGUACCUCUGUUCUGGCAAAAAGAAAUGAAUCUAAGUCAUACACCUGCAAACCUAGAAAGGGUUAGACAGUAUCAAUUAAAACAAACAAACAAAAAAAAACAAA